GAAUAUCAAUAAGUUCCAAUUGAAGAGCGGAUUCUUUUGCAAUUCAGGCAUGUGCCGGCGAUAACGGGCGAGUUGGCAUGAAGAGAGGCAGAGAUGGAUUAAUUAUGCAGAGAACAUGGAAAUUCUGCUUAUCAUCGGCUAGCAAAGGAGCCCGGCUCACAUAAUCAGCAAACGAAGGGAGAGGAAAAAAUAACAAUGCAAUGGCACCUUCCAGCCCAUCAUCAGGAUUUUUUCUACCCCCCUUGUAAUUAAAAAAUAACAUACACUUAUAGCCCUAUCUCCUGUGCAGGCAAGGAGUGGAUGUCCACAAAAUAAUUGCACUGGGAUAUUAGAGCUGGCAACAUGGGCUGUCCAUUCCUGCUUGCUUUCCCUCUCACCCUCUCUUUCUCUUUUGGCCUCUCAAGGCACUUUGCUUCUGAACUCAAUCCAAAUCAGAGGGAUGUCUCAGGUGACAUGCUAGCUCAGUUUCCAAAAAUCCCAAAUUGCUACCUUAUCAUGAUCCAAGCAAACAUACAUACAUAUAUGAUAAACAUUUGAAGAGCUGACUCUGGGGGAAGGCUUUGGAACUGAUCACCUGUGGACUAUCUGGUCAAUUUUGGCUUUUUUUGAUGAAACCCGUCCUAAUAACCUUCAUUUUACAAAGUGAUGAAAUGGUGAAAAUGGCUGUGUUCAUCUUCUCGAAUGAUUUCACUUACCUACAAGUUGUGGGCUCUAUCUCCUCUGCCGAUUCGUUUUAUGAAUUCAAGUAUAUGUAGUUAAUGAUUGCAGUGUUUGUGCCUCCAAAUCAGAGUUCACAAUUCUGCACUGUUACUGUAAAAUCUGACAGCUUAAUGCUCUGUAUUUCUCUAAAUGCCAAAAGAAGCUACAACGAACCUAGUUUAUUGCUUUAAAGAAAA
rnacentral:lncRNA from 1 species